rfam:Candidatus Woesebacteria bacterium RIFCSPHIGHO2_01_FTLL_37_10 rifcsphigho2_01_scaffold_25762, whole genome shotgun sequence.
GAUCCGGUGCGAGAGUGGCUAUCGGGCGGUCUGCAAAACCGUUUACGUGGGUUCGAGUCCCAUCCGGAUCU